rnacentral:rRNA from 1 species
UGGGGAAUUUUGGACAAUGGGCGAAAGCCUGAUCCAGCCAUGCCGCGUGCAGGAUGAAGGCCUUCGGGUUGUAAACUGCUUUUGUACGGAACGAAACGGCCUUUUCUAAUAAAGAGGGCUAAUGACGGUACCGUAAGAAUAAGCACCGGCUAACUACGUGCCAGCAGCCGCGGUAAUACGUAGGGUGCAAGCGUUAAUCGGAAUUACUGGGCGUAAAGCGUGCGCAGGCGGUUAUGUAAGACAGUUGUGAAAUCCCCGGGCUCAACCUGGGAACUGCAUCUGUGACUGCAUAGCUAGAGUACGGUAGAGGGGGAUGGAAUUCCGCGUGUAGCAGUGAAAUGCGUAGAUAUGCGGAGGAACACCGAUGGCGAAGGCAAUCCCCUGGACCUGUACUGACGCUCAUGCACGAAAGCGUGGGGAGCAAACAGGAUUAGAUACCCUGGUAGUCCACGCCCUAAACGAUGUCAACUGGUUGUUGGGUCUUCACUGACUCAGUAACGAAGCUAACGCGUGAAGUUGACCGCCUGGGGAGUACGGCCGCAAGGUGGAACGCAUUAAGCAAUCCGCCUGGGGAGUACGGUCGCAAGAUUA